UGAAGCCCAGUACGGUGUACAUUGGGGCAACCUGGAUGAUCUCUGUCCCGGCCAAAAUUACUACAAUGUGGAAACUUGUAGGUUAGCAGUUGUACCUCCUCAUGUUCUGAAUUUGUGCAAGUUCUGAAUUUUGUGCAUUCUCUGAAUAUUGUUCAGUUUUGCAGGGACGGGACUAUGAAGAGUUACACAAUCCAGCCAAUCAUUCUCUGUGUAAUCUCAGAGGACACAAGAAGUGCCGUUUAACCAAAUCAAAAGAGAAGGUUGCAGAUUAUGCGUAUAUCACUCGAAGAGGAAAAACGUGAAUAUGCAACUUGUAAACAAAGAUUGCUUAUGUAGUUUUUGGUGAUU
rnacentral:lncRNA from 1 species